rnacentral:rRNA from 1 species
CAAGUCGAGCGGCAGCGCGGGGCAACCUGGCGGCGAGCGGCGAACGGGUGAGUAAUGCAUCGGAACAUGUCCAUGUCGUGGGGGAUAGCCCGGCGAAAGCCGGAUUAAUACCGCAUAAGCCCGAGAGGGGAAAGUGGGGGACCGCAAGGCCUCACGUGAUUGGGUUGGCCGAUGUCCGAUUAGCUAGUUGGCGGGGUAAUGGCCCACCAAGGCGAUGAUCGGUAGCUGGUCUGAGAGGAUGAUCAGCCACACUGGGACUGAGACACGGCCCAGACUCCUACGGGAGGCAGCAGUGGGGAAUUUUGGACAAUGGGGGCAACCCUGAUCCAGCCAUUCCGCGUGAGUGAAGAAGGCCUUCGGGUUGUAAAGCUCUUUUGUCCGGAACGAAACGGGUAGCGUGAAUAUCGCUGCCUACUGACGGUACCGGAAGAAUAAGCACCGGCUAACUACGUGCCAGCAGCCGCGGUAAUACGUAGGGUGCGAGCGUUAAUCGGAAUUACUGGGCGUAAAGCGUGCGCAGGCGGUUUUGUAAGCCAGAUGUGAAAUCCCCGGGCUUAACCUGGGAAUGGCAUUUGGGACUGCAAGGCUGGAGUGUGGCAGAGGAGACUGGAAUUCCUGGUGUAGCAGUGAAAUGCGUAGAUAUCAGGAGGAAUACCGAUGGCGAAGGCAGGUCUCUGGGCUGACACUGACGCUCAUGCACGAAAGCGUGGGGAGCAAACAGGAUUAGAUACCCUGGUAGUCCACGCCCUAAACGAUGUCGACUGGUUGUUGGGGGUUUGACACUCUCAGUAACGAAGCUAACGCGUGAAGUCGACCGCCUGGGGAGUACGGCCGCAAGGUUAAAACUCAAAGGAAUUGACGGGGACCC